rnacentral:snRNA from 1 species
CUGGUUUCUCUUCAGGUCAUAUCAAAUCUUUUGCCUUUUACUAAAGAUUUCUGUGGAGAGGACCCUGAAUG